UACGGGGGGGGGCAAGCGUUGUUCGGAAUUACUGGGCGUAAAGGGCUCGUAGGCGGCCAACUAAGUCAGACGUGAAAUCCCUCGGCUUAACCGGGGAACUGCGUCUGAUACUGGAUGGCUUGAGGUUGGGAGAGGGAUGCGGAAUUCCAGGUGUAGCGGUGAAAUGCGUAGAGAUCCGGAAGAACACCGGUGGCGAAGGCGGCCUGCUGGGCAGUAGCUGACGCUGAUGCGCGACAGCGUGGGGAGCAAACAGG
rnacentral:rRNA from 1 species